rnacentral:ncRNA from 1 species
AUAAAAUGUUUUAUGUUUAAAAUCUUUAUAUAAUUUUUAUUUAAAUGUAAAUUUUUGUGUAAAAAAUAAGAUUUUUAAAGAAAAAUUUAUUUAAUAUUUACAAUAAAAAAUUUUAUUAAUUUAAGAAAUUAAGAAAUAGGAAUAAUUUUUAGGUUAAACAAAAUUUGUGCCAGCAGUUGCGGUUAUACAAAUUAGGCAAUAAAGAUAUUUUAGAAUUAGUAUUUAUAGAGAUUUAAAAUUUAAUUAAAUUAAUUAAGUGAAAUUUUUAAUUUUAAAAUUUUUUAAAGAUAAAAUUCUAUUAAGUUUUAAUAUAAACUAGGAUUAGAUACCCUAUUAUUUAAUAAAUAAAUUAAAUUCUUAGUUAGUAAAAGUUUAGUAUCUAGAAAAUUAGUAAUUUUGGCGGUAUUUUAGUCUAUUCAGAGGAAUUUGUCCUGUAAUUGAUAUUCCACGAGUAAAUAUACUUAUUUUUUUAGUUUAUAUAUCGUUGUAGGUUAAGUAUUUUAUUUGAAACUUAAUAUUUAAGAGCUAAAAUAAUAGAAGAUAUCAAAUCAAGAUGUAGCUGAUAAAUAAGAAGAGAUGAAUUACAGUUUAUAUAAGUUAUUUUUGAUGAAAAUAUUUUUAGGAUUUGAUAGUAAUUUUUUUAUUAUUUCUAAAAUGAUAUAAGCUCUAAAAUAUGUACAUAUCGCUCGUCGCUUUCAUUAUAAAAUGAAAUAAGUCGUAACAAAGUAGGUGUACUGGAAGGUGUACCUAGAAU